rnacentral:rRNA from 1 species
UCCUACGGGAGGCAGCAGUAGGGAAUCUUGGGCAAUGGGGGCAACCCUGACCCAGCAACGCCGCGUGAGGGAUGAAGGCCCUCGGGUCGUAAACCUCUGUCGGGAGGGAAGAAUGGUCGUUGUGCAAAUAGUGCUUCGGCUUGACGGUACCUCCAAAGGAAGUCCCGGCUAACUCCGUGCCAGCAGCCGCGGUAAUACGGAGGGGACAAGCGUUGUUCGGAAUUAUUGGGCGUAAAGCGGGUGUAGGCGGCUUGGCAAGUCGGAUGUGAAAGCCCAGGGCUCAACCCUGGAACUGCAUUCGAAACUGCCUCGCUAGAGUCCCGGAGAGGAUGGCGGAAUUCCCGGUGUAGGGGUGAAAUCCGUAGAUAUCGGGAGGAACACCAGUGGCGAAGGCGGCCAUCUGGACGGUGACUGACGCUCAGACCCGAAAGCGUGGGGAGCAAACAGGAUUAGAUACCCUGGUAGUCCACGCCGUAAACGUUGAGUGCUCGUCGUCGCGGGUAUUGACCCCUGCGGUGACCAAGCUAACGCAAGAAGCACUCCGCCUGGGGAGUACGGUCGCAAGACUAAAACUCAAAGGAAUUGACGG